rnacentral:lncRNA from 1 species
GCGCAGAUGCUUUCAGUUCCACUAACGGACACACAUGAUGCAACUUAUCAGCAGGGAGUACUGAGGCCUCUAGGGCAGUCUGGGAUGUGCUUUGGGAGCCAGCCGGGUCCAGGGCACCCAGCCACCACCACUUCAUCCACAGCAAGACAUCAGGACACACGCUCAGCCCAGAUGAGGCCUGGGCCUCUAUUUUAGAGCUUACUUUAGAUCAGACCAGACAAUAACAGACAUGUUUUGCUCUUCCCAGGUCUGCGGUCCCAAGGCUUUAGCUGGAUCCCACCUUCACCUCUGUGUGGAAUUAUAAUUUGGCUGGAAUGCAAACAGGCCAUUCAGGCAGCUUUUCCGCCUCCCCUCCCUUGCCUGCAAACUUCGGUCAUAUGGGCAGAAUCCCAUCAGCUUGACCAGGCUCCUGGAGGCCUGCAGAAAACCUGCCCACCCAGGAUGCCUCUCUUGCUGGGAGCACUCUCUCACCUUUGGGCCAUGUCAACACUAGACAUUCUCAUCAUCCGGUGAGAUCCCAGACUCUGCUUCCACAGACACCCUCAUCCUCCCCAUGUCUAUGCGGUUUGCAUGCUCAGCUAGUCCUCAGCUCCUCCAGGCAGAUGUGGGCCUGAGCGCCGGCUCUUUCCAUCUCCAGCAGGAAUUUGUAAGGUCAAGUAUCUGGUGGGGUUUUAAGAAUCAUCUCUGGGCUGCUGAGAGAAGGGCCCAUUGUUCUUGUAAUCAGGGUGCUAAUGGGAGUCUGUGAUGUGCUGAGGGUUUCACAGCCCGUGGGUGAGGCCCUAAUGGGGGCUUCUGGGAGGAGAAAAGACUACGCUGAGCCAAGGUACUUGGUUCCAAAAUAAGUUGUGCAGUGAAGGGCCGCUUACCAGACAGUGGAGCUGGGAUGCCAGGAAACCAAUGGGCACUGCAUCAGCACUGUAAGGCUCACUGGCAGUGGCAGCCCUUUGGAGGCCUCCCGUGAGGACAGGGCACACUGGACACAUGGGACACAGACCCCGUGUGUUUGGGCGGGAGGGACAAAGGCACCGGCCAGCACACCUGGCAGAGACGUGUGUCCAGAUCAGACAUGGGGAGCUGGCAGGAGACCUGAGAGUGUGGCUGGGGUGACACACAAGAAAGAGAGGCUUCAGGACAAGUGGGCUUUUAGCAAGAGGAGUGGCUCCAAGUCAGACGCAGGUGGAAGGCUCAUGUCUGCGUCUGGAAGGGCCUCUGGGGUGCUGACUGGCAACUGAGGCUUUGUCACCAGCUGUGUCCCCAUGCUCCGGUGGCACCCAAGCCCGGGCGGUGCCUCUCUCUUAUUCCAAGCAUCUCUUCCCACAUCGGCUAGGAUUUCUGUGCCUGAAAUAAGUCAUGUCUCUCGAGCACAAAUAAUCGGAAGAAUAAAAGUAUACUUUCCAAGAUUAGUUAUCCUGAAUGCUCCAAGCCCACAUUCUGUAAACAUGUGAAUAUUAGUUUAGCCACUGAAAGAAAGGACAGCCUUAAAAACUCACUUUUUGAUUAUAAAGAAAACUACAGAUGAGCAAUCAUUUUUUUUUGAAAGGUUAUUUUGGUUAAAAGCUCCCCCUAUAUUUAUUUUCCUUGUGAAAUAGUUUAACUCCUCUGGUUUGCAUUGGUCAUGACACUUAGUGUUCCUUUUGAAAUUCAACAGGCUGGACAGCAAAAUUCCAGUCAAAUUAGGGAUGCAAAACAAUGUGCUGUGACAGUUUUCCUAAGGGUGUCCUUCACCCCGUAAGCGGUCAUCCUGACAAGAGACACCCCACCCCAACCCUGUGCCAAGCCACCCGUAGGAGCAGCUGCUCCCAACACCACACCAGGCCAGUCGGACUCCUGACUCCUUUAACCACGAGGAAAUAUUUACCUAUCGCCUUAAAAAUACUUUUCUGCUUUCAAUAUUACUGUUGGCAAAUAAAUAGUGUUUCUUAACAUCUGAGGUGAAACAGCAGGAAUGAACCUUCCUGGGGUCCCUGUGAAAUGGUUCCGCUGAAGUCUGCCUCAAGGAGUCUUCAUGGGGACGCAGAACAAUAAGAUGGGCCAAAGCACUUCACACAGAGCCCAAGACCUACUCAGAGAACAGUCGUUUUAAAGGUCAGGCCAUUCAACCUGAGUUAUUGCCUCUCGUGCUGACUUGCCGACGGCUUGGCAGCAGUUCCCCACCUGGCCCAGCGCAGCCUUAUUUCGGGCUCUGUGACUGUGAUCAGUUCUCUCCUGCCUGCCCUGCUUCCCAGAUCACCUCAUCUCCCCACAGUUGCUGGUCUAACUGUUGAGUAUAUGGAGCCUCCCCUUUGUGGAAUGUGUUCUUUGGGGCCCUGGCACCCCUGGAAGUUUGCAGUCAAACAGUGUAGUUUCCCUGAAGGAGAGACUAGGUCUCAACAUCCGGAAAGCCUAGCGCCAUCUACUCAGGGAUGAAGCUGGAAAGCCUGAUAUGUCUACACAGGGAUGAAACUGCAAAGCUCAGCACCAUCUGAGCAGGGGGUGAAGCUGGUGCUCAGUCCACAACCACUGAUGGAGACUGAUGCCCUCCUUUGAAAAUGGAAAAUCAUGAGCUGAAAAGUCUGUCAUAUUGGUAAACAUGUGUGGCUGAAACAAGUCAUCUCUGCACAGGGAUUUGCUGACUGCCCUCACCCACAGUAAUAGCAUUGCCCAAAGGCACACUGUGGUUCUGGGACACUGAUCACAGCUUGUUUCCAUCUGCCUUUCUGGGGUCACCUUUGAUCCCCUUAUGAGGGUUAUGAGGGUUUCUUUCUCCUCCUGCCCCUGAGCUGCGUGCUGCUGCCCCCUGCCCCCGCCCAGAGUCCUCAGUGAGCACCUCGAUGUUCACUGUCACUGCGCAGCUCCAUGCCCGCUUGGUAUCUGACUCCAAAGCCUUCUAAGAGCCCAUCCUUUCUGGCAUUAAGCACUUGGAACCUUUCCCGAGGAACCUCUCUGCCUACAUGUAGGCACGUAGAUUUUAACCUCUCCACAUAGCCAGAGUAGUAUUUCUGAAAGUCAAUCUCAACACAUCCUUUCUUGACUUAAAAGAUAGGUUCACAUAGUUACCAGCAUAAACCUCAAAUCACAGGGCUUGGUUGACCUGGCCCCUUGGGGACCCCCAUCUACUUCCUGUUUACCCUCUGCUCUCUUCCCAGGCAACCUCAGUAAUCUGUGCUCUGUUCAUCCUAAAUUGUUUCUGUCUGAAGACAGAAAUACGGAAACUGCUGUCCUUAACUGCCACAUCUUGGAAUAUUCCACCCUUUCUUCCCCAGUCUUCUCCUCCUUCUCCUCCUGGCCAGGUUGGAUUUAACUUAGACCUCACCUCCUCCAGGGAGCCUUCCAAGACCACCCAAUUCCCCAUCUCCCCAAUCUGCCCUGUAGGUACACAGGAAACAAGAAUGUAUGGACCUGUUUAUUUAUAUGAAAAUACCUCUGCCCCCAUUAACCUCUAAGUUCUUUAGGGCAAGCAAGGUCUGUUCAUAAUUGUCCAAUGUUUUAUCUUCAGGGACGAUCCCAAAGCCUGGAUCUUAAUAAAUGCUGGGUUAGGAUCACAACAGCAGAGACUGAUUCAGGCUGCAAUGGGAUCUGUGUUUUUAUCUUAAGCAAUACCUAAAGAGAAUUCAGACUCCCAGCCAGAUCUGUGGGGCACUAACCCCUGGUAUGGAGGGUCGCUUAGCCUGAUCCCCCAGGACCUGAGGACUCCAUGGCUCUGUGCAACCUUCCCUUUGCUUAUGAAGGAUGAAAGCAUCUGCUUCCUUAGAAGCAAAACGUUGACUCUGCCUUCAAUUUUAAUUUACCAAGUUACUCCAUGGAGGAGCGAUUUUCCAACCUCACUGCAUCUGAGAAACAAGCAGCUUGAACAUGUGACUGUUGGGCCCAUCACAUAGAAAUUCAGGUUCAAUUGGCUGGAUGUGGAGCCGUCCCACCAGACACCGUUAUUAAGUUUCUUGAAGUUGAGAAUGCCUGCAACAGGGAAUACCCAAGAAAAUUCUGUGACUGACACUGCUGAAACUCAAUGCAAGUUUUACUGACAUCAAGAAGACCUUUCUAUUUUCAAGCUAAGAAAGUUAGUAAUUAUUAACCUUAAAGCAAGGUAAUUUGCUGUAGGGUUUAGUUUUAAAGCCAGCCAGACAUCCUCCAUGGGGACACGAUUGUGAUAAGUGUCUGUGGUAAGUCAUGGCCAUUUUCAUGACUUUUGUACAAAAUAUGGGGAUUGGAAGACUGAGCUACAAGCGAUGCUAGCAAAAGAGUAAGUGUAACUAUUGAGGCUGGUUUUGAAUUAUAACUUCGCCAAAGAGCAUUUCAAAGCAGUAUGUUCUUUUUCUUCCCUUCUCUCUUAAAAAACGAGGCUGUAUUUUUUCACAUUUGGUAAAAAGAAUGCUCAGAAUCUUCCACCCAGAGCUCCAAGCUGUAGCCAAACUGAUUGAUCGGCCCCAGAAGGCCACCUAGAAGAGAUCUCUGAGGUUGCAAUGUCCUGUUUUUUUUUUUUUUUUUUUAAAUUACUUUGUAUCUGAUUUAGGCAGCUACAAUUUUUAGCCUGGAAUUUUGCAUACAGAUUGGGCACUGCUUUGAAACCUCAGCUACAAUGCAUAUUUCAUGACCAGUCUCUUCAAAUCCUCUCUGGAAAAAAACACUGUACUUUUGUGGUUUGCUUAUUAAAAUGGAGGUGGGACAAUUAAAGGAGCUGUCCCCUAAUUCAAUGAGAAAUAUUUUUAAACACAAAACUUAGAACGAUGAAAAGUGGCAUAAUGGCAUAGAACAACAACAGAACGACUAAAUGGAAAAUAUUUACUUUUGAGGAUGGAAUUUUAUUUUUAAAUCCUAGUAAAUCCAGCCCUAAGGCUACCUUUUGUCCAUCUAAGUGCAUUCAGGACAUGAUGAUGGGAAAGCCCACAGGUGCUAACUUAACCACACUCUGUUCUUCUGGUUGAUUCUUUCUGCCUUUCUGUAUUCACUACUCAAGGAACAGCAACAUCAUUGCCCAGUUUCUCUACCCAAAACCAAAGAAUGCUCAAAGCACCUCACCUUUACUAUUCUUCUUUUAUUUUUUUUUUGUCUUUUUGCCAUUUCUUGGGCCACUCCUGCGGCACAUAGAGGUUCCCAGGCUAGGGGUUGAAUCAGAGCUGCAGCUGCUGGCCCAUGCCUGAGCCACAGCAACGCCAGAUUCGAGCUGCAUCUGUGACCUAUGCCAUAGCUCACAGCAACGCUGGAUCCCUCUAACCCACUGAGCAAGGCCAGGGAUCAAACCCACAACCUCAUGGUUCCUAGUCGGAUUCGUUAACCACUGAACCACAAUGGGAGCUCCUUACUCUUCUAUAUUACCACUACCACUUGAUCCUUGGGAAUGCUCCCUGAUGUCCAUUUCUUCCCUCCACUGCAGUCUGGCCCUGUCAUCCCUGACCUCUAUUCCAGCCCUGGUGUCUCAAGCCCAGUUCUGCAAACCUUAAGUGGUUUUCUUUACUAUAGACAGAAUGAUAUUUCUAAAUUUUAAAUCUCAUUAUAAUCCUUCUUGCUUAACACCCUCUGGUGACCUCACUGCCACCAGGACAGAGGCAGACCUAACCCCUAUGGCUUAUAACACCCUGCAGGAGCCUUCCCCUGCUUCCGUACAAAACCUGUCUUUCUCCACCCUGCAUUUUCUGCGUUAGUCAGAAAGUUUCUUAAAUUGACUUUGCUCUAUUUUAUGGGGAGAGCUCUGAGCAUUCCACGUCUGUGUGAAAUAAGAUUUGCCUUUCUUGACCUCUAGGCAAUGCCUGCUCAUCCUUUGGAAUUCAGCUUAAAAAUGGUACUUCCCCCAGGAAGCCUUUCUUCUUUGGGAAUGUGCCUUCACUGUAGCCUAUGUCCCAUUAUCACAACUGGCGUGAUUUACACACACACUUUUGUCUCAUUCAGAUCAUUGAUUCUUAAGGUGAGAGACUCAUGUUCACCCUGAACCCUCAGUGCACUGGGGGUUCACACAACUAGGUGAUAGAAACCUCAGCUCUUGCAUCUGCACCUUUCCACACCUGCUGGCUUCUCCUAGAGGAGCCUGAGUGAGGUCAACUGAAAAGUGGUUAAAUGCUGAAGCUUUACUGCAUCACCAUCUCUUUACCCUUACUGGACUUUGGCCCAGGUAGAAUGUCUUCGCCUUUUACUGUUUCCCUCCAAAUCCCAAGGACACGGUGGGUUUGAUUAGAUGUGUUUCUGGGAUGUAUGUGCACAUGCAUGGUUUCAUGUUUCCAGGCCUACACAUACUGUGAUGACUUGUUAUACAGACAUGGAUCAAACAUCAGCUCUUUUAAAAACCCUGGAUACUUUCACAACAACUAAAACAUGGAUGCAACACUAGUGCCCAUCAACAAAUAAUGAAUGGACAAGUGAACACAGCACAUGGAUAUAUUGGAAUAUUACUCAGCCUCAGAAGGAAGGAAAUUCUGAUACUUGCCACAUCAAGGAUGCAUCUCGGGGAUGUUAUGCUGAGUGAGACAAGCCAGUCCUCCAAGGAUGAACAGUCAUAUGAGGCCCCUAGAGCUAUGGAUUCAUAGAAACAGAAAAUAGCAUGGUGUUUGCCAGGGGCUGGGGGAGCGGGAGGGAAGUUUGUUUUUAGUGGGAACAGAAUUUCAGUUUGGGAAGAUGACAAAGUUCUGGGGAUGGUGGCGGGUAUGGCUGCACAAUGAUGUGAAUGUGCUUAGUGCUGCUGAAUGUACACUUAAAUAUGGCUAAGAUGGUAAAUUUUAUGCUGUGGGUAUUUCCACAGGGAAAAAACCCAGCAAACAAACCCUUCCUGGGCUCCCCCAGGCCAGCCUGCCAUAUUAGUCUGUGGUCGGGUCAUAAGAAGGGUUUCCACCAGAGAUGGUGAGGACCAGUUUCAUUAGGACACGUGCAAGUGCCUUGGUUCCCAGAGGCCUUUGGCACAUGCUCAGUUCUUUAUUCGAGAGUGAACUGUCAUUUCAAAGGCUUUUUCUGCUUUAAUUUACCUCCUUUGGAUAAUUUUGAAAGGGGCCCUUCCAGGUUAGUGUUCUGUCUUCUUGGAGAUUAUUGACAAUAAGAGACGGCAGAACUUGACAUUUCUUUGAACCCUGUUUGCCUUGGUGGCUUCAGUAAUGUGAACAGUCAAUGUGCCUCAGACUUUAGAUAUAUUGUUAGAUUUCCUUAGUCUCUCGUAUUUUUGCAGGAGUCUCUUUGGUGACCUAUCUCCAAACUUGGAGACCAAACAGUAAUUCUGGGGAAUCUGAAAAGUUUGACUAUAUAGAACUAAGCAACCACUAGAAGUGAAUUUGAAGUAUAUAUUCUGCUUACAUUUAUUUAUUUAUUUAUUUUUGUCUUUUGUCUUUUUAGGGCCGUACCUGUGGCAUAUGGAGAUUCCCAGGCUAGGGGUUGAAUUGGAGCUGUGGCCCCCGGCCUCCGCCACAGCCACAGCAACACAGGAUCCGAGCCACAUCUGUGACCUACACCACAGCUCAUGGCAAUGCCAGAACCUUAACCCACUGAGCAAGGCCAGGGUUGAUCCCGCAUCCUCAUGUAUGCUAGUCGGGCUUGUUAACCACUGAGCCAUGAUGGGAACUCCCUAUUUUUUUUUUUUUAAAGAAUUGUUAGCAAUGCUUUUUCAAAACACAAGAAAAUAUCUAAUGAAAAUGUAACCGUAUAUGUUGAAAGACACACGUUUUACUCUAAGAGUAAUGGAACCAGACAUUGGGUUUAGGAGAUGAGAGUCGAACUGAAUUAUGUUUUGUGAGGAAUCUGACAAAAGAGAUAAGUUAGAGCCGAGAAGAAAGCUAAAAAAUCGAGAGAGAUAUUCCUUGUGCAGAUUACAACCAGAGGAGCCAGCCUGCAGGUGCUGAGUGGAUAUAAUGCAGAUUUCAUUUUAUGUGCUUCAUGCAUUUUAUUUUAAAGGAAACACAGGAUUGAACCAACUGAUGUUUAAAGCUUUGAUUGCCAUGUGAAAUUAUUACAAAACAGAAGUAUUUACUACAUUAAGCUAUAGAAGUGGGAUAUUUUAUUUAAUUUCAAUUUUUAUUUAUUUUUAAGUACUAAGUGCCUUUUAUUACAUUUAUAGUUGUACAAUGAUCAUCACAACCCGAUUUUAUAGCAUUUAGAAUUGGGAUAUUAAUUAAGAAACAUUUUUGGAAAACCAAAACAUUUACCUCUAGAUUUUCAAUAAACCUACUGCACGA